rnacentral:rRNA from 1 species
CGCCUGUUUAUCAAAAACAUGUCCUUUUGUAUUAUUUAUUUAAGGUCUAACCUGCCCAAUGGUUAAUCUGAAUGGCCGCGGUAUUUUAACCGUGCUAAGGUAGCAUAAUCAUUUGUCUUUUAAUUGAGGGCUUGUAUGAAUGGUUGGACGAGGCAUUAACUUUCUUUAAAUUAAAUUUCUGAAUUUAAUGUAUUAGUUAAAAAGCUGAUAUAUUUUUGUGGGACGAGAAGACCCUAUAGAUCUUUACUAUUAUUUUACUUUCAUAAUGUAGUUGUAAAAUUAAUUUAAGUGAAAUGAAAGGUUUGGUUGGGGUGAUUUCAGAAUUUAAGUAACUUCUGUUUUAAUUAUCAUUAAUUAGUGUUUAAAUGAUCCAGUUAUAUUGAAUGUAAGAAUAAGUUACCUUAGGGAUAACAGCGUAAUUUUUUUGGAAAGUUCUUAUUGAUAAAAUAGUUUGCGACCUCGAUGUUGGAUUAAAAUGAGUGUUAGGUGCAGUAGCUUAAUUACUAGGUCUGUUCGACCUUUAAAUUUUUACAUGAUCUGAGUUCAAACCGGAG